UACGUAGGGGGCAAGCGUUGUCCGGAUUUACUGGGCGUAAAGGGUACGCAGGCGGCCAUGUAAGUCAGAUGUGAAAGGCUACGGCUUAACCGUGGCAAGCAUUUGAAACUGUAUGGCUUGAGUUAAGGAGAGGAAAGUGGAAUUCCUGGUGUAGCGGUGAAAUGCGUAGAUAUCAGGAGGAAUACCAGUGGCGAAGGCGACUUUCUGGACUUAUACUGACGCUGAGGUACGAAAGCGUGGGGAGCAAACAGG
rnacentral:rRNA from 1 species